UACAGAAGUGCCCCGACAAUGUGAUGACU
rnacentral:piRNA from 1 species